GAUGAACGCUGGCGGCGUGCCUAAUACAUGCCAGUCGAGCGAACGGACGAGAAGCUUGCUUCUCUGAUGUUAGCGGCGGACGGGUGAGUAACACGUGGAUAACCUACCUAUAAGACUGGGAUAACUUCGGGAAACCGGAGCUAAUACCGGAUAAUAUUUUGAACCGCAUGGUUCAAAAGUGAAAGGCGGUCUUGCUGUCACUUAUAGAUGGAUCCGCGCUGCAUUAGCUAGUUGGUAAGGUAACGGCUUACCAAGGCAACGAUGCAUAGCCGACCUGAGAGGGUGAUCGGCCACACUGGAACUGAGACACGGUCCAGACUCCUACGGGAGGCAGCAGUAGGGAAUCUUCCGCAAUGGGCGAAAGCCUGACGGAGCAACGCCGCGUGAGUGAUGAAGGUCUUCGGAUCGUAAAACUCUGUUAUUAGGGAAGAACAUAUGUGUAAGUAACUGUGCACAUCUUGACGGUACCUAAUCAGAAAGCCACGGCUAACUACGUG
rnacentral:rRNA from 1 species